AUACUUACUUGGAUGGGGUCUAUGGAUGAUCAAGAUGACCUAUGAUCUACCCCAAUGACUUCUAUUGCACUUUGGAGGGGUAUUGGUCUACCAUUUCUCUAAAUUGGGAAAGUGGAUGUCAUAAUUUGUGGUAGUGGGGGUACGCGUUCACGCAGCCCCUGC